GCGUCUCCGUUGAUGAUUUUAGGUGCUUGCACUUGAAAGAUUUAACAUUGAGACGAGUGGCGAACUGGUGAGUAACACGUGGGUAACCUGCCCUUGAAGUAGGGGAUAACACUUGGAAACAGGUGCUAAUACCGUAUAACAACCAAAACCACCUGGUUUUGGUUUAAAGGACGGCUUCGGCUGUCACUUUAGGAUGGACCCGCGGCGUAUUAGCUUGUUGGUAAGGUAACGGCCUACCAAGGCGAUGAUACGUAGCCGACCUGAGAGGGUAAUCGGCCACAUUGGGACUGAGACACGGCCCAAACUCCUACGGGAGGCAGCAGUAGGGAAUCUUCCACAAUGGACGAAAGUCUGAUGGAGCAACGCCGCGUGAGUGAUGAAGGGUUUCGGCUCGUAAAACUCUGUUGUUGGAGAAGAACAGGUGUCAGAGUAACUGUUGACAUCUUGACGGUAUCCAACCAGAAAGCCACGGCUAACUACGUGCCAGCAGCCGCGGUAAUACGUAGGUGGCAAGCGUUGUCCGGAUUUAUUGGGCGUAAAGCGAGCGCAGGCGGUUUUUUAGGUCUGAUGUGAAAGCCUUCGGCUUAACCGGAGAAGUGCAUCGGAAACCGGGAGACUUGAGUGCAGAAGAGGACAGUGGAACUCCAUGUGUAGCGGUGAAAUGCGUAGAUAUAUGGAAGAACACCAGUGGCGAAGGCGGCUGUCUGGUCUGUAACUGACGCUGAGGCUCGAAAGCAUGGGUAGCGAACAGGAUUAGAUACCCUGGUAGUCCAUGC
rnacentral:rRNA from 1 species